UCGCGCACACCCCCGGCAGCUCCGCAGCCGGCAGAACCCCGGCGGGGAGCGCGGCCCGGGGGGGCUCCCGAAGGGAGGGAGAUGAGAAAAUCUACUUCAUGAUUUCAACGCUUUCUUUCAGUCUAGACGUCUACAUCACAUUCUCCCUCCCUCACAGAACGUGACAGCUGAGCACUCCAUAAAGACAACAUACAGUGUGUGCCAAAUCUGGAGUCCUUCCAGAAGUACUGCCUGAGUUAUCACAUGGUGGAAAAACAUUUGAACUCCUUAUUUCAUGCCCCAGAACCAAAGAAGGACAACAUUGUCCUAGUUAAAUAAUCAUAAGCAGCCGGGAAAAUGUUCUACAGAUUAUUUCAAAAAUUUUACCUCUGGACUGAGAUGUUCUGUCAUCCCGUGUGGCAAUUGUUUUGAACAGUUAAUGAGCCUGUAAGUGGGAGAACUUAUAAACAUGUGCUGGAAGACCUCCCAGCUGACACCAGCAUGAGCUGCACUGACAAAGACACAUAAGACAUGGCCACUGUAGUAAAGGGAUCAUCUCAUUCCGUUUACUUGGAGGACCCAAACUAAACUGCAUCCUUACUUGGAGGAUCAGAAAAACCUUGCUUGUAGGAUCCAAAUACUUACACACAAGUAUGUCAGUAGUGUUGGUGGAACUUGGGUUUCAGGAAAAAAAAAGCUCUUUCAUAAAAGCAAACAGAAAAAUUUACUCAGAAACUAAUUCAACAGCAGGCAAUCCUAUAGGAGAUCUCUGUCAUAGUGAGGGGUUUCCACCAUCUUCGCAGCACAAGAGUGUAUGUUUAAACUUUGUGCCAACUUUCCAUCUAGGGGUGGUUGAGAAUUGUUGCAAAAGUCACAGUGUCAAAGUCUAAGCUCCACUGAUCACAUCCUUUUUUCUGUGCAAGUGAAAGCACAGAGAAACUCUGGUGAUGCUCCCGGUAACUUUCAGCCAGAAUUCAGCUGCUACUCUGAGGUAGCUGGUACCAAAGCAUCUUACAAGGAGUUAUUUUACCUCGUAUUACCAUCUUUACCAUCAUAGCAUUGUGAUGAAACACUGUUUUGGUCUUCAGAGUGACUGUUCAAAUCAGCAAAUGUUUCAAAACAUUCCUUAUGGUUUAGUCAGUUGUUCUGGAUGUUAACUGCUUGUUAAAUGUCUUUGAGAAAAUAUAGCAUGCACAAAUUAUCUGAUUACUACUUAUGGAUAUUAUUGGUAUGACAGAAUUUUCAAUUUUCUUCAUCGAUUUUCUAUUAAAACAAAGUGAACCAAAAAGAAAAAGGAUCAGAACAGCCUGAACAUGGCAUAUCUAAACUCUUGCCACUUACGAAAAUGACGUUUUAUAGGCUGGAAGGAGAGGAGGAAAAGAGAAAAGAAGUAAUGCAUGACCCUCACACCUUUUUUUUUAAAUUAAGUGAGCCGAUAUACAGGAAACAGCAAUAUAGCUUAGUUGUACUGAAACUUUAAAAUACUUUUAUACAUUGUUUCUAAUACCAAACACACAGGUGACAAAGAGCAGCAGUUUUCUGCUUUGUGCUUUGACAUCCUCAAGAAGUGUAGAGAUCUAAAGGAAAAAAAGCAAAUUUAGACUGUGAGAUUGAGUGUAGGCUUUCUGAAGAGGAAGAAAAAUGUUCAAUAUCUCCUAGCCCUUCAGGGGACAAAGCUAUCAAGACACUGGGAAAGCAUCUGGGAACAGCAUGUACACUCCUGAAGGGAUAUGCAAGACUUCAAGGAUGAGGGGAUGCAGCUAUCCCACAACUACCAAUGAACAGGAAUUCAUUGAGAAUUACUGUAGAGAGGAGCAUUACCUGUAUGAGAGGAUGAGUAAUGCACAGGGAGAGCACAGCUGUCUAGGCCCAUUUCAGGAGGGUGACAGAAAGACGUCCACAGAAGUAUAGCUCUCUGUAUGAUGGGAUACUGCCUGGGAACUGCUGACUGCAGCACUGGCACUUUAAACUCCACAUUUUUAUCGGCACAGAGUGUGGGACUGUAGGAUCAAAGCAUGUCAUCAGAUUCAAAUCCACUAAGAUGGUUUUGCAGGAGGCAGGAAAACAAGAUCCAGUUUUGAAACUGCCUUCUCAUGUAAUUAUUUUUUUUUCUUUUCUGGUUUUAUUUCCUUGUUUGUUUGUUGGGUUUUGUUAGUUGGUUAGUAAUUUACUUGAAAUAAUCCUGAGUGUAAGCAUUUCCUGCUCCUACGGGACUUAAAAUGAACUGAAGAGCUAUUUGCAGAGAACACACCAUGCUGAGUUUGCUGUCCUUUGAGGUAGGGACCUUGGACCCUUCUCAUCCAUCUCAAAUAGAGCUACAAUUUAUUUCUUUAUGAUUGUUUGCAGUGGUUACAAAAUUAGGGUUAUUUGCUUUACUGUACAAUACCACAAGACAGUUUUGUUCAUGACAGUCUAUAUUUACACACCUUGUGUUUGCUCAGAACUGUAAAGCAACAACAUGAAAACAAUCAGCUACAGAAUUUAUGACACUCUCCAGGCGACAAAAGUCAAUCAGCUUUUGGCCUGCUGCCAUAACAGAACUGGUUACAUCCAGAAAGAGCCACCCCAAUGUGAGACUUGUCAUCAGGGCAUGGUGAUUAAUGAUCUAUUUCCAUGUGUGCUGCACAGUGAAGACCACAGGAGAUGUCAGUGGAAAAAUAGAAGAGUGCACAGAAGUUUUAAUGGUGGAAAGCAUAACAGACUGGAUGGACUUUUUUUGUUACUUUGUCUUGCUUCUUUUUGAUUCAUAAUACAAGAGCACUAUCCAGGCAAAUAAAUAAGCUCCAAAACAGCAUAUAAUAAAGCAUCAUAGUCAAAAGCAUGAUGAUGGGAAAUCUCUCUCUUUCUCUGUUAACUGGAAAUGCCAAUACAUGACUAAUAAUGCAACCUGAUUCAAUGUUAUUAAAAUAGAGAAUAUGCUUAGUUUUGUUGUCUUCUACAUUAUAUGAUACAGUAAAAAGUUUUAAAAAUGUAUGUAUAUAAUCCUCCACCCAAACCCUUUCAAUGAACAAAAACCUUUCCUAUAAAACCUUUCCUAUAAAACCUUUCAAAAUAGCCAUAGUUUGGGAAGUUAAAAACAAUUUAACUAAAACUUCUAAAUCAUUAAAAAUCCUCAUAACUUGUCAGUUCUAUUUAAUAAACUGUUGUUGCCCUCUAGUGUUCGAACACAGCUUGUAAGGGCCCCUCCAGAAAGAUCCAGACUGGUCAGCUGUCAAUUAAUUCCCUGUUAGGUCUUAAUCCAACAUGACCAAUGGAUAGGAAAAAUAAUUUUUCAACAGUGUUUCAGUACACCUCCCUAAUACCUUAUUUUCUUUACUGGAGCAUAAAAGAAGAUCUUUCAUGUAAUGACUUCUAAAGCUGUUUUACUCAAAUGUUGUGAAAGGCCACUGAGGUCAGCAUCCUCACCAAAUCAGGUAUGGUGCUGGAGCACCUCUCAGCUUUACCUCUGCCAUUCACUGUGCUGGGUGUGCACUGCUGCUUGGGCUGGAGGGCAGAUCCCAAUGACAUGGGCCACACUGAGUAACCAGAGAGUGCUUUGGCUUGGAAGGGAUCUUAAGGAUCAGCUCAUUCCAACCCUUGGCCAUGGGUAGGGACACCUUCCACUAUCCCAGGCUGCUCCAGGCCCUGUCCAACAUGAGCUUGGACACUUCCAGGGAUGGCGCAGCCACAGCUUCUCUGGGCACCCUGUGCCAGGGCCUUGCCACUCUCACAGGGAAGAAUUUUUUCUCAGUAUCACCUUCUCUUUUAGUUUAAAGCUAUUCCCCCUUGUCCUAUCGCUGCAUGUCCUUGUAAAAUGCCCCUCUCCAGAUGAAUACAUGACCUGUGCUCUGAACAACCCUGAGAUACAUCUGCUGGUUUCUCUUGAAUAUUUUGCUACUGUAAUGUAACCAUAUCAAUUAAUACCAACCACCUUUCCCUCCAACAAAUUAUUUCUUGCAGCAGAAAUGCACAGUGAGCAUUCAGGGGUUGUUCUCAGCACCUCUCCUGCUGUGAUGACACCAGCAACAUAGAAAGCUUCUCAUGAAGGUUGCAGUUCUUAGGAGAGAAAAUUAUGGUGAACCUCAGAUCUGCAUCUGCAUUUUUACAGCUAGGACUAGUACUUAUCAUUCUGUGAACUCACUUCCCAAAAAUGUUCCUCCUUGUUAUGUUCCUUGACAAGAAACCUCGAAAAAAAAGAAAAGAAAAGAAAAGAAAAGAAAAGAAAAGAAAAGAAAAGAAAAGAAAAGAAAAGAAAAGAAAAGUUAAAAAGAAAAGAAAAAAAGAAAGUUAAACAAGUCACAGUCAAAAAACAAGCUGAUAAAUUUGUGGUACGUUUCUUCGGUAAUUUUGGUCACUUUUAAGAGGUUAUCCAGACUACUUUUCUUUUAACCAUUGUCAGACUUCAACAAUGUAGCAGACCUGCUGUUUUUAUAUAUAUAAAGCAAUUUGCAGCCUCCAUAUACUAAGAAUUCAAGUUCUUGACACAAGGAACACUGACUUUUCUUUGAUCUCUGAAUAAGGGAAUUUUCAGAGAAUUUUCUGCAUUUAGUUAUUUAGAGCUUUCAGAAAACUUGCCUUGAGGCCAUUUUUUGGAUCACACCUGCUUCCCACCACACUAAGCUCGACAGAUCUAAGAAUCUUUUGGAUGUGAGUCAAAUUUCAUAUUUUGUAAUAGAAUUGUUUCCUUGCAUUUGUGAGGCACCCUUCCUUUUCUGCUGUGACAUUUGUUGUUGAUCAUGCCACCUGACACAAACACUUUGAAAUCUAGCCUUUCAUUCUAAAACCAGGUUUACACUGACUGCACAUGAAGGGAAAUUUAAAUAACAUGAACUGGAAGUUGUGUGGCAGUAGAUGCUCCCACUUACUCUCCCUGUUGAAGUGUCAGGAAAACAUAAAAUCAUAGAGUUGUUUAGGUUGGGAAAAAACUCUAAUAUCAAAAUAAUUGUCCAUGCUUAUUACCAGUCACAUGAAGGGCAUGCUAGAAGUGAAGAGGGUGUGCUUUGAGAGCACUCACAUUUGUAGUACGUAGUUUUAAGGAUACCUGUGAUGUAUGCAGAAGAACUUUAAAGAUAUGUAUAUAAGCGUAAACUAUAUUUAGAUAAGGAAAAUUAAAUUAUGCCAUAUGUAAUAUAUUUUUU